rnacentral:sRNA from 1 species
CUGUGUUCCUGAAGGAUGCCGCCCUUUUCCACAGUGACGACACUGACCACUGCAGCUUCUCCACUGUUCUAUGCAAGGUCUCCGUGGCCACCUCCCAUUUCGCCACCAUGACCAACUUCAGCUGGCUGUUGGCAGAAGCCGUCUACCUGACCUGCCUCCUGGCCUCCACCUCCCCCAGCUCAAGGAGAGCCUUCUGGUGGCUGGUUCUCGCUGGCUGGGGGCUGCCCAUGCUCUUCACUGGCAUGUGGGUGGGCUGCAAGCUGGCCUUCGAGGACAUCGCGUGCUGGGACCUGGACGACAGCUCCCCCUACUGGUGGAUUAUCAAAGGGCCCAUUGUCCUCUCGGUCGGGGUGAACUUUGGGCUUUUUCUCAAUAUUAUCCGCAUCCUGGUGAGGAAACUGGAGCCAACUCAGGGCAGCCUCCAUACCCAGUCUCAGUAUUGGUACUGUGUGUUUGUGUCUGGGGACACUGGGAAAGGGUAACUGGAGGGGGAUUCAAUGUGGUGGUUCUGUCUCAUCCAACAGGCAUUCAUGACCUCAGCCUCAUACUCUU